CUGAUAUGAGUCUAAAACUUAGUGCAAAAACAAGAUAAAACUAAAAAAAAAAAAGUACACAGAUGAAAGGGGUGAAGGGAAGUGUGUUUGUUAAAGGUUAGACGUGAAUAGUGUACUUCUUACCUAGGUUUACAACUGGUGGACCACACACCAGGUACUGACCACCUGGUGAGGAUUUGGCAAAUCCACCAAAAAAAAAACCACAUACAAUUUAACCAACAUCUCCACCAGCGCUACAGAUUUCUUCUUAUUCUGUGCAUUUAAUGCAGACAAUACUAUGCUUCUACAUGCUGUUUAGAAACAGAAGGGUGACCUGCACUGUAUCUUGAGUUUGCUGACAAUGCUUCUUUUGAUGACGGCACAGCAUCUUUUCCAGGGGCGGCUCUCGGACACGAGGGCUAACGCGGGAGGCCCGGCUUCUCCAGCAAGAGCCCCGGGUGUGGACAGACAGCAAGCAGCCGAACCAACUCCGCAGUCAGUAACCACUCGCUUUAGCCCGUCAUGGGAAUCUAGGAUGCCUUUGUGACCGCUGGAGAAUCGAAUCCUCUUGGUUUAUUUUAUUUAAUUUCCCACCUUUGUGUGCGUGUGUAUGAA
rnacentral:lncRNA from 1 species